AUUGAACGCUGGCGGCAGGCCUAACACAUGCAAGUCGAACGGCAGCGGGGGAUAGCUUGCUAUCCUGCCGGCGAGUGGCGGACGGGUGAGUAAUGCAUGGGGAGCUGCCCAGUCGAGGGGGAUAACAACUGGAAACGGUUGCUAAUACCGCAUACGCCCUGAGGGGGAAAGGUGGGGAACUUCGGUGCUACCGCGAUUGGAUGCGCCCAUGUGGGAUUAGCUAGUUGGUGAGGUAACGGCUCACCAAGGCGACGAUCUCUAGCUGGUCUGAGAGGAUGACCAGCCACACUGGAACUGAGACACGGUCCAGACUCCUACGGGAGGCAGCAGUGGGGAAUAUUGCACAAUGGGGGAAACCCUGAUGCAGCCAUGCCGCGUGUGUGAAGAAGGCCUUCGGGUUGUAAAGCACUUUCAGUCAGGAGGAAGGGGUGAUGGCUAAUAUCCAUCAUCAUUGACGUUACUGACAGAAGAAGCACCGGCUAACUCCGUGCCAGCAGCCGCCGUAA
rnacentral:rRNA from 1 species